rnacentral:lncRNA from 1 species
GAGCACAGAAGCUCAGUUGGUGGAAUGCAUGGCUGUCUGUCAAGCUGUGAGUUGGAGAAAAUGUGCUUAUUUUUGCUUUGCAGGAAUGUAUACCAACGUGGGCCGACUGUUCUGCCUGACUUCUCAAAAGAAACAAACAAACAAACAAAAGUUAUGUGUGAAGUUUUCCAAUUUUUAAAUUAUUGACAAGAAAUUCAAUUUCCUUUGAAAACAAAAAGCCACUAAGAGGACAAGUUAAAUCACGAAUGGAUUGAAAUUGGCCGAUGGUCCCUGUGGGCACUCUGGUUGAGUCAGACUAGAGUCUGAAUUGCCAUCCAUACUCUGUGUAAAUACCGGUGUGCUUAGGUUACUGUUAUAUAUGCUAAGUUACACGUCAGGUAUUUUCCAUUGCAUGUGAUCUAGAAAGAGCCUAGGCUUCAGACAAAUACUCCAGGUCAUGUGUCUGCCACCUCUUAAAUGUAUGGCUUUGAGAAAAUCACUUGAACUCUCAGCUCGUGUUUGUGGGUGGAAUGGAGACAUAUGUAAUACCCUUCUGUGAUCCUGUGAUGUUCUCGGGAGAAUUAGAAAUUGUUUCUAGAGAGUGCCUGUAACAUAGGGAGCAUCCAGUGGGCACUCAGAAGAAGGAUCUGGGGACUGUGUGGUGUUCGUUUCUCUUACCCCAAGUUCACCAGGAAGACAGGAUCACUCCACAGAAGCAAGGGGGAGAGGCAGAGACAUCACUGAUGGUCCUGGACCUAGAGAAUGCUAAUAGGGUCAGAAGAAUGUGAU